rnacentral:rRNA from 1 species
GGGGGAUAUUGCGCAAUGGGGGCAACCCUGACGCAGCAACGCCGCGUGAAGGAUGGAGGUUUUCGGAUUGUAAACUUCUUUUAUUAAGGACGAAAAAUGACGGUACUUAAUGAAUAAGCUCCGGCUAACUACGUGCCAGCAGCCGCGGUAAUACGUAGGGAGCAAGCGUUGUCCGGAUUUACUGGGUGUAAAGGGUGCGUAGGCGGCUUUGCAAGUCAGAUGUGAAAUCUAUGGGCUCAACCCAUAAACUGCAUUUGAAACUGUAGAGCUUGAGUGAAGUAGAGGCAGGCGGAAUUCCCCGUGUAGCGGUGAAAUGCGUAGAGAUGGGGAGGAACACCAGUGGCGAAGGCGGCCUGCUGGGCUUUAACUGACGCUGAGGCACGAAAGCGUGGGUAGCAAACAGGAUUAGAUACCCUGGUAGUCCACGCUGUAAACGAUGAUUACUAGGUGUGGGGGGUCUGACCCCUUCCGUGCCGGAGUUAACACAAUAAGUAAUCCACCUGGGGAGUACGGCCGCAAGGUUGAAACUCAAAGGAAUUGACGGGGGCCCGCACAAGCAGUGGAGUAUGUGGUUUAAUUCGAAGCAACGCGAAGAACCUUACCAGGUCUUGACAUCCAACUAACGAAGUAGAGAUACAUUAGGUGCCCUUCGGGGAAAGUUGAGACAGGUGGUGCAUGGUUGUCGUCAGCUCGUGUCGUGAGAUGUUGGGUUAAGUCCCGCAACGAGCGCAACCCUUGCUAUUAGUUGCUACGCAAGAGCACUCUAAUAGGACUGCCGUUGACAAAACGGAGGAAGGUGGGGACGACGUCAAAUCAUCAUGCCCCUUAUGACCUGGGCUACACACGUACUACAAUGGAUGUUAACAGAGGGAAGCAAGACAGCGAUGUGGAGCAAACCCCUAAAAACAUUCUCAGUUCAGAUUGCAGGCUGCAACCCGCCUGCAUGAAGAUGGAAUUGCUAGUAAUCGCGGAUCAGCAUGCCGCGGUGAAUACGUUCCCG